CGUUUAUAAACUUAUGAGGAAGUUUGCAUAUAAUUAUCUAUAAUGGUUUUAAGCUUUCUAACUUGUAACGAAUGAUGCUCACUUCAGAAAACUGGCUUUAGAUUGAAUGUCUUAAAGUAAAAUUCUUAUUGUUACGUUGAUAGCAGAAUAAAGUGAGCAGAUACUCCAACAUUUCAAUAGUUCCUUAAAAUAUUUAAAAGGAAACUACAUAAAAACAAAAAUAUACGGUGUGGUGUAUAUGUCAAUGCGACACCAAGCAACCCAAUAACAAAAACAGCCUUUUAAUAUUAAUUGGGACGAAAGAAAAGAGGGGCAGCAUAAAUAAAAUA
rnacentral:lncRNA from 1 species